UGAAACUGGUGGUCUUGAGGGCAGGAGAGGAAAGCAGAAUUCCUGGUGUAGCGGUGAAAUGCGUAGAAAUCAGGAGGAAUACCAGUGGCGAAGGCGGCUUUCUGGACUGCCCCUGACGCUG
rnacentral:rRNA from 1 species